UUACCCAGGGUUUAGUUUUACAGUGUUUAAUACUCCUGGGUUUAUUAAGUUGGUCCUAAGAGUGAACAGUCACAUAUUUCAUUUUAGGCAAGUGGCAGGUAGAGACUGAAACCACCACCACCAGGAUGACGUGCCCAGGCCGGCAGGUGGGGCCCGAGGCGGGUGGGAUAGCACAGCAGGCAGACGGACACAGUGCGACGCGGCCACAGCGAAUCACUUUCUUGGACAGGCACAGAAGUAUUUAGACUUGGGAGGGCAGUGAGGCCGCCUUGCCGCCAUGAUCCGCACGUGCACAGCCGCCGUGGCUGAGACGGACCGACGGGGCAACCUUGGGAGGGCAAGGACAGUGCCGGCCCCUGGGCGUCAGGGUGGCCAUCAGGCCAAGGACGGCAUGUGAAGGUCUCUGUCACCAAAGCCAUGCAGGACCACCGCCUAGGGGCUGAGCCCAGGCCCCACGACAAGCGUAGUGGAGGCAAGAGACCACAGCCUGGACCCCUCUCCCCUUGACAUUCAGAAGGAGCCCAGGCAGUCCCUUCAAGAGGAAAACCCGCCACUGCCGAGAGGGACCGACACGGAGGAGGCGCUGCUGCCGUCCUGGCCCUGGGCACACCACGUGAGCAGUCUGGGGCAGCACCGACCUGGCUCUCCAGAGGCAUGUUGUAGACCUCCGAGU